AGCAGCCGCGGUAAUUCCAGCUCCAAUAGCGUAUAUUAAAGUUGUUGCAGUUAAAAAGCUCGUAGUUGAAUUUCGGGAUUGACACAUCGGUCGUGCCUUAAGGGGUGUGAACUGGUGUAGUCAAUUUCUCACCUUCUGGAGAACCGCGAUGUCCUUAAUUGGGUGCCGCGAGGAACCAGGACCUUUACUUUGAAAAAAUUAGAGUGUUUAAAGCAGGCAUUUUUGCUUGAAUACAUUAGCAUGGAAUAAUAAAAUAGGACGGCAUGAUUCUAUUUUGUUGGUUUCUAGGAUCACCGUAAUGAUUAAUAGGGAUAGUUGGGGGCAUUAGUAUUCAAUUGUCAGAGGUGAAAUUCUUGGAUUUUAUUGAAGACUAACUACUGCGAAAAGCAUUUGCCAAGGAUGUUUUCAUUAAUUCAAGAACGAAAGUUAGGGAUCGAAGACGAUCAGAUACCGUCGUAGUCUUAACCAUAAACUAUAGCCGACUAGGAAUCAGACGAUGUUUAAUUUUUAAUGUACUUCGUUGCACCUUACGGGAAACCUAAA
rnacentral:rRNA from 1 species